rnacentral:rRNA from 1 species
GACGAACGCUGGCGGCGUGCUUAACACAUGCAAGUCGAGCGGUAAGGCCCUUUCGGGGGUACACGAGCGGCGAACGGGUGAGUAACACGUGGGUGACCUGCCCUCAGCUCUGGGAUAAGCCUGGGAAACUGGGUCUAAUACCGGAUAUGACCUGCUGCUUCAUGGUGGUGGGUGGAAAGUCGGUGUUGUAGUGACACUGUUCGGCUGGGGAUGGGCCCGCGGCCUAUCAGCUUGUUGGUGGGGCGAUGGCCUACCAAGGCGACGACGGGUAGCCGGCCUGAGAGGGCGACCGGCCACACUGGGACUGAGACACGGCCCAGACUCCUACGGGAGGCAGCAGUGGGGAAUAUUGCGCAAUGGGCGGAAGCCUGACGCAGCGACGCCGCGUGGGGGAUGACGGCCUUCGGGUUGUAAACCUCUUUCG